UACGAAGGGGGCUAGCGUUGCUCGGAAUUACUGGGCGUAAAGCGCACGUAGGCGGUCUUUUAAGUCGGGGGUGAAAUCCUGGAGCUCAACUCCAGAACUGCCUUCGAUACUGAAAGACUUGAGUCCGGGAGAGGUGAGUGGAACUGCGGGUGUAGAGGUGAAAUUCGUAGAUAUUCGCAAGAACACCAGUGGCGAAGGCGGCUCACUGGCCCGGUACUGACGCUGAGGUGCGAAAGCGUGGGGAGCGAACAGG
rnacentral:rRNA from 1 species